CCUACGGGAGGCAGCAGUGGGGAAUUUUGGACAAUGGGCGCAAGCCUGAUCCAGCAAUGCCGCGUGAGUGAAGAAGGCCUUCGGGUUGUAAAGCUCUUUUGUCAGGGAAGAAACGGCUGAGGUUAAUACCUUUGGCUAAUGACGGUACCUGAAGAAUAAGCACCGGCUAACUACGUGCCAGCAGCCGCGGUAAUACGUAGGGUGCAAGCGUUAAUCGGAAUUACUGGGCGUAAAGCGUGCGCAGGCGGUUUUGUAAGUCUGUCGUGAAAGCCCCGGGCUCAACCUGGGAAUUGCGAUGGAGACUGCAAGGCUUGAAUCUGGCAGAGGGGGGUAGAAUUCCACGUGUAGCAGUGAAAUGCGUAGAGAUGUGGAGGAACACCGAUGGCGAAGGCAGCCCCCUGGGUCAAGAUUGACGCUCAUGCACGAAAGCGUGGGGAGCAAACAGGAUUAGAUACCCUGGUAGUCCACGCCCUAAACGAUGUCUACUAGUUGUCGGGUUUUAAUAACUUGGUAACGCAGCUAACGCGUGAAGUAGACCGCCUGGGGGAGGUACGGUCGCGAGAAGUUAAAACUAACAAAUAGUAAGUUAGUACGGCGUGAGACGUGACCGAACGGACGACGACGAGGGAGGUUAGGG
rnacentral:rRNA from 1 species